rnacentral:rRNA from 2 species
UACGAAGGGUGCAAGCGUUACUCGGAAUUACUGGGCGUAAAGCGUGCGUAGGUGGUUCGUUAAGUCUGUCGUGAAAGCCCCGGGCUCAACCUGGGAACGGCGAUGGAUACUGGCGAGCUAGAGUGCGGUAGAGGGUGGUGGAAUUCCCGGUGUAGCAGUGAAAUGCGUAGAGAUCGGGAGGAACAUCAGUGGCGAAGGCGGCCACCUGGACCAGCACUGACACUGAGGCACGAAAGCGUGGGGAGCAAACAGG